GAGUUUGAUCCUGGCUCAGGACGAACGCUGGCGGCGUGCUUAACACAUGCAAGUCGAACGGAAAGGCCCCUUCGGGGGUGCUCGAGUGGCGAACGGGUGAGUAACACGUGGGUGAUCUGCCCUGCACUUCGGGAUAAGCCUGGGAAACUGGGUCUAAUACCGGAUAUGAUCAUGCGCCUCUUGGUGUGUGGUGGAAAGCUUUUGCGGUGUGGGAUGGGCCCGCGGCCUAUCAGCUUGUUGGUGGGGUAAUGGCCUACCAAGGCGUCGACGGGUAGCCGGCCUGAGAGGGUGUCCGGCCACACUGGGACUGAGAUACGGCCCAGACUCCUACGGGAGGCAGCAGUGGGGAAUAUUGCACAAUGGGCGCAAGCCUGAUGCAGCGACGCCGCGUGGGGGAUGACGGCCUUCGGGUUGUAAACCUCUUUCAGCACAGACGAAGCGCAAGUGACGGUAUGUGCAGAAGAGGCGCCGGCCAACUACGUGCCAGCAGCCGCGGUAAUACGUAGGGUGCGAGCGUUGUCCGGAAUUACUGGGCGUAAAGAGCUUGUAGGUGGUUUGUCGCGUUGUUCGUGAAAUCUCACGGCUCAACUGUGAGCGUGCGGGCGAUACGGGCAGACUAGAGUACUGCAGGGGAGACUGGAAUUCCUGGUGUAGCGGUGGAAUGCGCAGAUAUCAGGAGGAACACCGGUGGCGAAGGCGGGUCUCUGGGCAGUAACUGACGCUGAGAAGCGAAAGCGUGGGGAGCGAACAGGAUUAGAUACCCUGGUAGUCCACGCCGUAAACGGUGGGUACUAGGUGUGGGUUUCCUUCCUUGGGAUCCGUGCCGUAGCUAACGCAUUAAGUACCCCGCCUGGGGAGUACGGCCGCGAGGCUAAAACUCAAAGAAAUUGACGGGGGCCCGCACAAGCGGCGGAGCAUGUGGAUUAAUUCGAUGCAACGCGAAGAACCUUACCUGGGCUUGACGUGCACUAGACGCCGGCAGAGAUGUCGGUUCCCUCGUGGCUGGUGUGCAGGUGGUGCAUGGCUGUCGUCAGCUCGUGUCGUGAGAUGUUGGGUUAAGUCCCGCAACGAGCGCAACCCUCGCUACUAGUUGCCAUCAGGUUAAGCUGGGCACUCUAGUGGAACUGCCGGUGGCAAGCCGGAGGAAGGUGGGGAUGACGUCAAGUCCUCAUGGCCCUUACGCGUGGGGCUACACACGUGCCACAAUGGCGGUGACAGAGGGAUAAUCCCUGAAAACCGUCUCAGUUCGGAUUGUUCUCUGCAACUCGAGAGCAUGAAGUUGGAAUCGCUAGUAAUCGCGGAUCAGCAUGCCGCGGUGAUACGUUCCCGGGCCUUGCACACAC
rnacentral:rRNA from 1 species